rnacentral:rRNA from 1 species
UACGGAGGUCCCUAGCGUUGUUCGGAAUUACUGGGCGUAAAGGGAGCGCAGGCGGACCGGUCAGUCUGGAGUGGAAUCCCGGGGCUCAACCUCGGAAGGCCUCCGGAUACUGCCGGUCUUGAGUUCGUGAGAGGAAAGCGGAAUUCAGGGUGUAGCGGUGAAAUGCUUAGAUAUCCUGAGGAACACCAAUGGCGAAAGCAGCUUUCUGGCGCGAAACUGACGCUGAGGCUCGAAAGCGUGGGUAGCGAACGGG